UCAGCAUCUGAAUGUUUACCAAUCUUGGCACACAAUUGUCUCUCCAUAUACCUGUUUUCAACCCUAUCAGGAAAUUCUUCAUAUAAAAGAUUAUAAAGGGAAAAAAAGAUUUCUAGGAAUUGCAGACUUCCCAGGAAUGUAGGAAGGAGAUGGCUAUAUAGACAAAGAAUAUCUACUUUUUAAAGCAAAGUUUGAUUCUCUAAUGAAAUAAAGAAUCAUAGCACUUUGA